GAUGAAGAACGUAGCGAAAUGCGAUACUUGGUGUGAAUUGCAGAAUCCCGUGAACCAUCGAGUCUUUGAACGCAAGUUGCGCCCGAAGCCAUUAGGCCGAGGGCACGCCUGCCUGGGCGUCACACGUCGUUGCCCCCCCAUCUACUCCUUCGGGAUUGCGGGGGGCGGAUGAUGGCCUCUCGUGCGCCUCGUCGCGCGGUUGGCCUAAAUGCCAAGUCCUCGGCGACGCACGCCACGACAAUCGGUGGUUGCGAAACCUCGGUUGCCUGUCGUGUGCGAUCGUCGCGCAUCGAGGGCUCGAAAAAAUUGCCGGGCUUCGGCUCGACUUUCAACGCGACCCCAGGUCAGGCGGGGUUACCCGCUGAAUUUAAGCAUAUCAAUAAGCGGAGGA
rnacentral:misc_RNA from 1 species